GCCUCCUUGUUCUGGGUUAGGGUCUUUGUGAAGAAGGUUCCCCACCCAGACACACAUGGAGUCCCUGCCAGUCUUCCUCUACCUGUUGGCCAUUCUCCACGGUGUUGAAGCCAAGGAUCACAUUGUGCAAUGGGGAGAGGGGACAGUGGUCUCCUCGCAAAAGCUCAGUCUCGCUUGUGCCACCUACACACUUCCAGUUUCUGAAUCUUCUGUGUCGUGGAUCCGCCUUCGUCCAGGAAAGGGGCUGGAGUGGGUCGGUGUAAUAUGGGCUAACGGAAACACCAACUACAGCCCCAACCUUCAGUCUCGGGUGAGCAUCUCCAGGGACACAGGAAAGAACCAGGUGUUCUUACAGCUGAGCACUGUGACUGCUGAGGACACAGGCAUGUAUUACUGCACCCAAGACACUGUGGUCCAGAUUCACUGGGAGCCCAGACAUAAACCUCCCCUGCAGGGGACAGGAGGGGCUCAGCUGCAGAGGGUGUUCAGGAAUCACCAAAGCAUAACCCAGUAA